AUUAUUAUUCAUUCCAUAUAUAAAGCAAGAACCCACUUCUUUGUUUCCACAUUUUCAUCUUCUCCAAUACGGCAAUUCCGAUUAGGGUUUCAUCUUCUUCUACACGCUUCCAACUCGCAACAGUCUACUUUCUCCCCAAAUCUUCCAGUUUCUUCAACUUAUCAACACCUGAUAUGAUACGAUCCUCAUCCUUUCCUCCAUCGCCGAAUCUUUCACUCCGAUUCCUUCAUGAACUUAGAGGGUUUCCCUCAUUCUCUCUUGGUCGCCUCUUUACAAAUCUAAUAUCUUCCUUCCAACUAUUCGAAUCAAGAUAUGAUUUUGAGUUUCAAAUGAUUUUGUGGGUUUCUUCGUAAUGGAUCUUUUUACUGCUCCCACGAAUGUCGUCUCCACCAAGAAAUAUCCGAUCGGAGCCGAGCAAUUAUGAGCUGUAUGAGGAGAUAGGACAUAGAGAUGCAUGUGGAUGUGAGCCGAACAAUGCUAAAGGCAACAGGUUCUCCAUUUUAUAAACUUUAUGGGUUCUUUUAGUCUAAUUUUCUUUGUAAUUAAUUCUGCUAAUUGCGUACAAUUACAUCUUUCCUAUGUGUUUAAUAGAAUUAUUCUUCGUUAGGAGCUUUAUAGUUACCACACAUAUGAGGAUCACCUUAUAUACUCCAGUAUUGUUCUUCUUAUGUCAGAUUAAUUACCUUCUAAUAUAGUAUUGUUCUUCUUAUGUCAGAUUAAUUACCUUCUAAUAUAAUCCUGUAACUAGACUAGAUUGCAUAUUAAAAAAAAAACGUUUGCAAGUUUGACCUUUUCAUUAUAUAGUAAAAUUAAUUUACUACAAAAGUGAAUGCAAAUAAGUGCUUCUAUCAUCUGGAUAUACCAAAAGUGAAUGCAAAUAAUUGCUUUAUUUUUAGCAUUAUUUUAUAGAGAAACAAUUACUAUUAUAAUUUUCCCAAUUGUAUUAUUUGUAUAUCGAGUUAAACUCAAUGGCUAUAAGUUGGCCCAUGUUUUGACUUUUACUUUUGGUGUAAUAUAUAUAUUUUGGUUUUUUGUGAUUGUUGGGCUAAAAGUACCAGUUAUGUAGUACUAUGAUCUGAUGAAAAGAAGUUGGAUAACGAGCAGUCGACCUGGUUUUAAAAGUACCGGUUACGGAUUACGCUUUGACGAAAAGAAAUUGGCUAAUGUGCAAUCGACCUGGUACGUGCUUGCUUGCUUUAGCAUAGUUAUAGACUUAUGGUAAUUGUUUUGUUUGAUAUGUUUGUUGAUGCGGGAAAAGUAGGUUGGGACCAACUGAAUACUUGAACAAAACUAAAAUGCCAUUGUAAAUUUUAGAUUCUUAACACCAUUAGGAAGUAAUUACUAUUCAAUUGUAUUAGUUAUUGUUAAUUGUGGUAUCCUCUUGAAUUUUAUUUUCUGGUCUCUUUUUAGGAAGUAAUAACUAUUCAAUUGUAUUUUAAUAAGUUAUUGCUAAUUGUGGUAUCCUUUUGAAUUUUAGUUUCUGGUCUCUUUGUUUGAUUUUAUCUAUGUAUCAUGUUGGUUGUGGUGUAGCUAAAUUUUUUUCUUACGGGUUCGGAAAUUUUCGAGGGAUGAACGAUCGACCGUCCAUCACUAAAUUUCGGCUUUUUCUAAGGGUUCGAUGUUGAAAUUUCUAUGGGUGUGAUGUCAAAAUACAUGUAUAUGUAACACUAAUUUUUGUUUUGGUACGGGUUCGGCCGAACCCGUACGUCUCUAUGUACCUACGCCCCUGCAUAUUGGUUCAUAGCUAUAGUUCAAAUACUAUUACGAGUGCUCAAGUUGAAUAUGUAAACACAGUCAUUCGAAAUCGUUAAUUUUAGGGAUUUUUGAUAUAAAGAUUGUUAUUCUCAUCUUGGAUUUUAGUUCCUUACUUUGCUAUGUAUGUUAUAGUCUGUCGAUAUUCGAUCAUCAUUGUUGGAUUUACUAACUUAUAAUGUUGAGUUUGUUGACAUUGAGGAUGAAAUCAGAGAAGGUAAUGAAGAAAAAGAGUAAAAGGGGGAAGAUGAAUUAUUGCAAGGAAUGUGGAGCUUUGUUUAGAAAACCCACGCACCAGAAAAAGCAUAUGAAAAAGCCAUUCAUUGCAAUUUCAUCUAAAAAUUAUAAGGAUCCAAAAUUGGAUCAGAGAUCAAGUUACUCGGGUUAUCUGAACGAUUUAGGAAGAAAUUUUUUGAACAGGUUAUACUUAUUGAAUCUUGAUAUGGGUUAAUGAGGGAGUGUAAAUGACUACAGAGUUUGAUGGUGGUGAAUUUCUUCCUUUGACAAAAAUGCGAUGAUGAACGACACCGGAGAGGUUAAGGAUGAUGAUAUAGAUAUUUUAUUGAAGACGUUGAUGCCGAACUUUUUAAAGAGUUAGGUAUUCUAUUAGUUUAGCUUUAUAUAGAUUUUGGAAUUGUAUGUAGUUUAUAAUUUAAUGUAGUUUGUUAUUCAUUUAGAAAGAACUAGGCUAUCACACGGGAACAUCCCGGGCUAGGAAAAUUUAGUUUUCAAUAAUAAAAAAGUACAUAAACAACAUUUUCAAACUCAUUAGUAUCUUCUUUCCCUUCCCACAAUAAUUAUUUGUUCGGUUUCAUCAGUAUCCUAACUUUGUCUCCAUGUGUAUUCAUAGUUU